ACCCUGGAGAGGAAAGCGAGGCAAGAAACAGACACUGUGCCAGUGGCUCCUGAAGGGAUGCACACUCGGGGAUCUCGGAGAGGGUCCAGGUGAGGACGGCAAGGGCAGAGGAGCCUGUGGGAGGGGUAAGCACGAGGGAGGCCAAGGCCCUGAGAUGUGAGGCCCACAUCCUGCUGCAGGCGCUCUGCCUCCAGCAAGAGGUGGCUCUGGAGGACAACUCUCCACAGGCUUGGACAGCCAUGCUCCCAGACAAGAGCUUCUGCUGUGCUCCCAGAUGAGAGCCAGAGCCCCACCUGUCAGGAGGCCACACUCAUGCCCAGGACUUCUGGGCCUCGGCAGUGCUCCCAAGGGUGUGGCACCAGGUGCAGCAGGGCAGGUAUGUGGACCAAGUGCGCUGGGGAGGUGGAGGAAUAGCAACAUCCCGUGGGCCAACCAUCUCUUGUGUGUGCACACGGCACCUGUGUACCCAAGGUCACCCGUGUGCACGCCACCUCUCCACUCCUGGCAGCAGCCACCCUUGCACCACGUGGCUCUGUGCCCUGGCUCCACAGGACUCCCUGCUGCUGCCAGGAGCGAUUCCUGGAGUCCAGCUGGGGUCAGCAGGUGGAGGUAGCAGGGCCUCUGUGCUGGCUUUGGGACUGGACCAGCAGCAUUGCAGACGCCCUGGCUCACCCACCUGGGCACACCUGAGGCCUCUUGCCCUUAUCUCCCAGGGCCCUAGUGGUUCCCCUCCACCAUCCCAUCCCAAAGCUUCACCUUUCCAGUGUAGCCCCAGGCCCUAGAGCAGGCGUGUCCACCUUAUUGUACACACAGCGUUUGACUCGGAGCCCGAGACAUGUAUCUGAUACAAAUGGGGCUGUUCUGGAUGAGGGAGGGGGCACCCAGCCCCCAAGUCCGGCUCCCCAGCUCCCUGACUGCCCUGGCUCUGCUGAGCACCUUCGAGACCAUAUUGGAAGCUCUCAGCGAGGCUCCUGGACCCUGGCAUCCCCGAAACCCCCUGAGGGACCCACUUUGCCAGCUGCAUGUCUGUGUCGCACGGAGCUGUCUCCUUGCUCUGCAAGCAGGUGGAAUGCAGGAGCAGGCAGGAAAAUCCAACUCUUCCGAGUCAGACACUCGAGAGCUCUGCAGACACAAAGACAAUGCCACGCCGCCCCCUAAAUGCUUUUUGUUUUGGAAAAUACAGCUGUUUGUCAUAAGAUAACCGGAAGCAGCAGAGAAAACAUCUGAAGUGCUUCCUGGACACACUGGUUAGGAAGUUUCUGCAAGAACCCAGGUAAGAGCUGGACUAAGUGGGAGUCCGUGGGUGGGAGGAGGGAGAACGCCUGCGUGGGCGUUUACAGAGAUGAGUUUGCAGGGAUAAUGAUGCCGGGGUUUCAGGCUUCAGGCCCAGCCCCAGGAAGAGAACGGCAGCAGGAAAAGUUAGAGAGCGAGGAGUGGGAGCAGGAGGUAGAGAGCUCGGCCCCUCCUUCACUGCUGCCCUCUGGGUGACGCUCAGCGGAGGCACCACAUUGCGGCUGCGAGGGCCCCCGAGACAACCUCUGCACCGUUUAUGGGAUCCCAUUAGGGGAGCAGCGGCCCUGCAUGACCCCACAGGUGAGCAGGACACCUCAUCACAGGGUAGGCACGUGAGCAGACCUCACCCUCACACAGCUGCCUCCCGGGCUGCCCAGGUCAGGUGCUGAGAACACAAAAGAAAAUGAGACAAAGUCGCCACCCUGGAGUUUACAAGCUGGCGUGGGAGACAGGCUGGCACUGAGGACGACAGUGGAGAGACAGGGAGAGACAGUGGAGAGACACGGAAGAACCAGAGGUGCUGGGGAAGCCGGGUCAGCAGAGAGACCCCAGCAGAGUGGGAGCCGGAGGACGGCGGCGACUGCAGCCGACUGUUUCAGGUUCUCCUCCCCACUAGACUCGGAGAUUUUAACUUGAUCAUCUCUGCAAAGACCUUAUCUUCAAAUACAGUUACAUUCUGAGGUCCUGGUAGUUAGGGCUGCAACACCCGAAUUGGAGGGGACGUAAUCCAGCUCCUGACAAUACCGCAUAUGACAGCUGCGUCUCUGCCUGUAGUACUGUUUUUUCCAGUGAAAGCAUCUGUGAAUGUAUUCAGAAAGCCUCCUUUUGGGGCCAGGCCUUGCAGAGAAUCCUUCAGAAACUGGACAACGCCACCCAAGGCAGUCAGUGGGGAGGACGCAUUGGGUGCCUCAUUGGUCCCUGGAUCUGCCUCACAGUCCUCUAUGUUCUUCCUCAUUCCCUCUCCUCUUUCUCCGCUUUGGUUGACCUUGAAGCUCAUUCCUGGUGAAGGCCCCGGUGGGAGCAGUGCAGUGACAAGAGGAGCCUAUUUCCGUCAGCACCCUCACGCUCUCCAGUGGUCCACUGGAGACAUCUGUGACCUCCUGAUGCUAAGGAGCCCAGAGUGGGCAGCCCUCGGGCCCAGGCUCCAUCUGGAUGAAUAAACUGAGGCAAGAUAUAGUGACUCAGCUGAGGCCACACCGCAGUUUAAUGGGGAAGCCAGGAUGAGAGCUGGCGGCUUCUAUGUCUGUGAUCUACACUCUGGUGGCAGAGGACGUCAGAGACCCAUGUCAACGGUGAGGAGGUGACAUGCUGGUCCCUUCCAUAAAAGCUGUUUCAUAAAAUUAAAACACACACACAGUAAAGAUCCAGAUUUACAGAAGUGAGCAUGAGGGGCUAUUUACCAGUCAACAGAUCUCCCCCAGUGGUUCUUCACUUGGGGCUGAGAUGCUCCUGACCGGCAGGGCCUGGGGAGAGAACUUCUUGCUCCCCCUAGAGCUGGCUGACCCAUACGCAGGGGAUUCUGAGCGCUAGGGGCUGGGAGCAGCAUGUCCCACGUGUUUCCCAGGAGUUAGUCAUGUUUGCUCCUAAAACCUAUUGCAAUCGAGGAAUCUAAUUAAACAACACAGCAACUGCAGAAACAGUGCAAAAAGAAUGAGUGACUGUUUCUAUGAAAACUUAGAUGAACUACUUUGGAAAGAUUCAAUAAAGAGCAUGCCUAAAUAUAUAUACUGGGGCUAGGAGCAGUGGUUCAAACCUGUCACCCCAGUGCUUUGGGAGGCUAAGGUGGGAAGGUGGUUUGAGGCCAGGAAGUUGAAACCAGCCUGGGCAACAUAGCAAGACCCUGUCUCUACAAAAAAAAAAAAAUUCAGUUGGGUGUGACAGCACCUGCCUAUGGUCCCAGCUGCUCUGGAAGCUGAGAUGAGAGGAUCACUCCAGCCCAGGAGUUCAAGGCUGCAGCGAGCUGCAAUUGUGCCACCCUGGGUGACAGAGCAAGACUCUGUCUCUAAAAAAUACGUAAAAUAUGCACAUCCAGAUACAGUAUUAUGUGUGGGCGAGACACCAGUAAAAGAUGGAAACAAUCAUAAAAGUCAGGCGGAAUUCCACCUAAGAUUAUCUUUAACUCUCAAUCUACCUUGUUUUAAAAUCUUUUAAUGAGCCAUAAAAGACAUACGACUAGUCUUUAUUGUACAACUUGAUGAAUUCUGAUCCUGUGGCCAUACAGUUCAACACAGAGAACAUUCCAGCACUCAGAAAGCAUCCUAGUGCCCUCGUCGGUUGGUGUCUGUCAACCCCAAGGAUGUCACAGUCAUUUGGACUCCCCUGGCACAGUCAUUCCACUUAGAGACCCUGGCAGAAGUCCCAGAUCAUAAUCAGGAGUGAGAUUUACACAAGAAGGGGCAGAAAGCCCUAGUCAGUAGUGACCCCAACUCCAAAAUCACCCUACGCUCAAAAGAAAAGUGAAACUGUACUUUUUAUGUUUGAAAUUUAAGUAAGAGAGAUGUAUUUUUAUUAAAUCAUUCCAACCUUUACAACUUUUCUAUUCAUCAGCCAACGAGCCAGAGAAAGGGGGUUUUUGCUGUAGUCGGAGUAUAAAAAUGAGCUGCAAUUUUCAAAAUUUGACCUCAUCUAACUUUCUCCAGCUAUGCCAUUCCCGGAGCAUCCUCGGUCCAGUGCUUGGUGCAUAAAAUGUAAUAAAAGGGCGGCGCCACCACACCAAACGCUGGGGUGUCUGUAGCAGUGAGCGCGUCUCACGGGGAUUUUGUCUGAAUUCCUGUUCCUCCACUCGCCUAAUCCAUGGAGGUCAGGGAACCACCUACCUCAACGCACACAGUAGGUUCUUAAUAAAUGUUGGUCCAUGGAAGUCAAGUCAGCCCAUAAAGGGAAGAGUAGGAAACAGGUGUGCAGGGAGGGAGGAAUAAAGCUGCCCUGGGCCUGCCAGGCCUGGAGCCACCCCGCAGGGAGCUCUGGAGCCAGACAGCCUCCGAGCACCCCCAGCUGAGGGAAGGAGCUGGGCACAGCCCUGUGUCCUGUCUCUCAGCCAGUGGAGGAGGAGCUUGGUCAGUCCCUACAAAGGCUGCAGUGGAGAUCCGGCACCCCAGUACCUACCUACCCAUGAAGGCACAGGAGGAAAAUUCCAGAAACAAGGAGGCCCUUGUGAAGCCACACAGGUGUGGAACAGCGUGGCACGGAACUCCCGCAAUGCCCAUACCCCGUGAGGACGUAGGUCCCCAUCUGUCCCUGGAUGUAGUACAGUGGUUGUCCUCGAAGCCACUGGGGUCUCGGCCUGCUGGCUCUGCCCACGUCCCGUACUGGACGCCCUGGCUCAUAACCCCUCCCCACAGCACCCCCUCCUGCAUUCCUUGGCUCACCCAUGGGUCCCUCUUGGGAACGGCUCCCCAACUCCACUGCUUCAGGGAGAAGCAGCUUAAUGCUUCCCGAAGCUUCUCCAGCCCCACCCCACUUACCCCCAUGAUGUGAGCGCUUGGACCCACCGUCCCAGUGACCCUGCCUCCAUGGUAAAAGAGGGCCUGAAUGGGGGUUCUUCUAUGCGGGGGUCACGGGCUGAUUUCAGAAUCUGCGGACUGUUAUUGUGCUGCCUACACAGAAAAAUGAACAUAAGAGCUACAAUUUGCAUAAAAAUUCGGGAUUUAGGGAGCCCCCAUAGAAUCCCAAGACCAAAGACAGGUCUGCCGAUGAGAAAAUUUGGGGAAGUGACACCAGGUGUCCUAAUCCCCUGAAGCCCAGAACGUGUGUGCACUGCCGCGCGCUGCCCCGGAGAAGGUUCAGGCAACCUUCAGGUGAGGACUCUAGGCCCCUCCAGAGAACAUUCCUGAGCCCUGCGCCAACUGCCCUCUGUUCACUCCGCUCCAAGGGAGUCUCAGAAACCCUCAAAAGAGUGAUAAGAAGCCAUCUUACUAACGAAUCUCUGCCUCUUGCUGUGUACCAUAUUUAGAACUCUUUCUUAAGCUGAUAGGAAUUUUGCUAAAAGCACACAGAGAAUGUUUUCUCAUUGCCUUCCUCUCUGAGUCACGUAUUGCAUUCCCCCAAACACUCCCACAUUUAGUAAUGUGAAAAACAAUGAAAGAUUGGAAAGCCCAUAGAUGAAGGUUAAAUCAGUUCUGAUAGACCCUGAUGUGUGACAAAAUAUAAUGCAGCCAUUUAAAAUGAUGGAAUAAUACCUGAAAUAUAAAAACGUUUAAAAUGCAAACCCCAGAAGCAUCUACAGUAUAUCCCCAAUUUUCUAAAACACACAGGCAUACAUAGGCUUCUGAGAAAUGAUUAGAAGGAAAUAUGCCAAUGUGUUAAUAUUGGUUAUCUCUGGUAAGACUAAAGGUGAUUUUAAUUUUUUUUCUUCUUUCCUGUGUUUUCCAAAUUUUCCAUGGUAAGCAUACAUUGAUGUUAAUUUUUUGAUUGAAAAUUCUACUGGCUUUGUGGCCUGUCCUGUGUAAUCACAGCUGAGCUCACUCAUCCUCUGGGCUGUGGAACCAUAGCAAGGAAGGCAGCCUUUCCCCAGUGUGCCCUUGGGUUAUCCAGAUCCACCCAGAGCCUGGGUCUUGCUGGGUGCUGCCCGGGGGAUGCCAGGACACAGCUGAGUGUUGGCCACAGCUGAGUGCAGACACACAUGGUGCAGAGCACAGCGUGAUGCGCUGCGGGAUGAUGGGCUUUGCAAACCCCAGGAAGGGACAGCGGCUAGGUGCUCUGCCCCAAGUCCAGCCCACCAGGCCUCAGUGAGCACCCCUGGCUGUGACUUGGGCCAGCCCUCAAUCCACUCAGCCCCUGUCUCUCUGAACAUGCCCUGCCUUCCUGCCGGGCUGGCUGGGCUCUAGGAGGGAGUGUCCUGUGCAGGGCAGGAGGCACAUGUGAGCUCAAGGGCACACCAACCCUCUCACUAGUCAUGUGUUGGGCCCAGCACACGCCCGCUCUCUCGCUGCUCACCCCCACCAAGGUCAAGCUUCUGAACCCCUUCUUAGAGACAAGGAGACCUGGGCUUGGCCCUCGAGUUCACGGAGUCGCCAACAUGACAUACAUUAGGUAUUUGUCCUAACGCUCUCCCUCUCCUUUCCUCCCAGGUGAGCAGGUCCUGGGCACGGCCACACCCAAACCAAAGGUGCCCUUGGACAGGUCACUGUCUUCAUUGCUCAGGCUGGUUUGAGUCAGGUUCCCAUCACUUGUAACAAAUCCCCUGGAUUCCCAAGCCUCCGACCACACCCCUGCCUCAGGUCCUGUGCACUGCCCCAGCCUACAGCUCUCAUCACCUUGCAGCCCAUUCACCACUUUCAGCAUCAUCUCAUUUUCCAACAGGCUGAAAUCCAAAUGUGGUCACUCUCAUGAUCCAGUACUCCCCGUGACCUGGUCCUAAUCUGCAUCUCCACCAUCAUUGCCCAUCAUUCACUAGAUAUGCACACGCCUACGAUUGCAGGUACUCAGAUCAUGAGCACAUAUUGGAUGAAGCAGCAAACAGCCCUGCCCCCGGGGGGAAGACAGACACCAAAUGGGGAACAUGAUAAACAAGUAAAUUAUAUAGUAUGUGAGGAGAUUGUAAGUGCUUCGACAGAAAAGAAGAAGGAAGGGAGGAGGGAAGGAAGGGAGGAGGGAAGGAAGGAAGGAAGGAAGGAAGGAAGGAAGGAAGGAAGGAAGGAAGGAAGGAAAGAAGGGAAGGAGGGAGGGAGGAAGGCAGAGGGGGAGGGAGGGAAAAAGGAAAAAAAGAAAGAAAGAAAAUCUCCCUUUUCCAAAAACGAGAAUCCUGGCUUCCAACAGCACUGAUGGAAUCUUGUAUUUGCUCAAUCCUACAAGACAGAAAAUCAUUACAGAAUUGCUGCCCUGCACCAAAGUGAAAGCAAACCCACAAGUCGAGUUUGCAGAUAUUUGUUUGCAGGUAUUUUGUCUGCAGGUCAAGGUUUGUGGUCAAGGUUCCACGUUCAAUGUUACUUGAGUUAGUUUCUGUUGUGGUGCUGGGGUUGGUUUGUUGGUUUGGCUUCUUGACCUGUUUUGAUUUGGUUUGGUUUUGGCGUGGUCAUGUUAUUAUCUGACAUACGAUUAGCUCAUAUUUCCCACACUCUGUGAUAAACGUUGAUAAUAAGUCAGUCUCUGUAGACCAGCUGGAUUGUGUAUUCUCCCUGCUAACCCCAGAGCACACUGAAGGCAGGUGCUUAUUAUCUUAUUCAUCAUUAUAUCCUUAACACCAAUCACAAUUUUUGUCACAGAGUGGGUGCACAGUAGAUAUUUGUUAAAUUCAACCACUGAAUCUAAAGGGUUUCUGGAUAACUUUUUUGCAAAAUCCCUGUAAAUGCCAUAAUAAACAAUUUGCCUACAUAUUCAUAGACUAGCAUCCAAACCACAAGGAAUAUAUGAAUAAUUCAGACAUAUGAAGAGGAGAUGAAUGACUCAGAAUUUAGAACCCCACCUACUGUCCCCUGGUGAGGGGCCAGGGCUGCUCUCCAAGACCUACCUCAAGCCCUGUGCAGAACACGUAAGGUUCACCCACCUCCGAACGGAUGCUGUGCUCCCUCCGCCUCAGGCAGGGUGCUCCCGCACACACGGGCAGCUGCUCAGACAGAGAUGGUAUCAGGGCCCGUGGGGAUCUGGGAGUCUUGAACGCUCGUGGGAAGACCGAUAGACUUCCAGGAUGCCUUCCACGGAGCGGCUCGGGACAAAGUUGUGAAUGCAGCGGCCAAAAGAUCUGCAGUCCGUUGUGGGUUGAGUAGAGCUCCCCAGUGCGCCGGCAGCAUAGGGAAAUGCUCAGGAAAACGUGACGGCAGGUGUCCACUCUGAAAGCAGCCACGAGUCUUUGCUGAGGUCCUGCCGGGUCAGAUCCUAUGCUGGAUAUAACAGGGGAAGGCAUGCGUUUGAAAGGAUUUCUCAGCCGCAGACGCAAGCCACACGUCGCACUCAGUGAGAGACUGACAUCCAGGAACGUGGACCGAGGUGCAGCGGUGGGUCAAGGAGGCUGGACUUGAGAAUGACUUUCAGCCGCCAGGAUCUGGUGACCAGCUGGAUGUCAGGGACAGAAAGAAAGGCCCAGAUGGGGAAAACUCAGGGCUUCCCGUGUGGGAGGCUGCUCCACUCACCUGGACCCCAAGGGUCCUGGGGAAAGGGCCUAUUUGACAGCAGAACGAGCCGCUCACAAAACAGGAGAGAGAAGACAUCAUUUCAGACCUGAGGCAGCGCAGACCUAUUUGGAAAGAGGAAAUACACAGAUGAAGCCCUAAAAUCAGUCAGGUGAAAGGAAAAUAAAAUCUCAGGACCCAGUUCAUUCUGCCAAAGGGAAAAGCUAAGCUGGGAGCUGAGGCAUGCAAGCCUCUGCCUUUCCUUCUGCUCCAGAGCAAAUCGCUGCAGAGAACAGGCCGGGGGUCUCCACGGGGAGCUGCUCUUCUGCUGACUUUAUCUUAUGCAAAGAUGUGCUGAGCACCAGACAAAUACAUGAUGGAUGAUUCCUGUACCCCUGCUUUCCAAGGCGACGUGUGGAUUCAGACAUGUGACCACACCCCCUCCCCUUCCCCUCCUGCCUGCUUUUCCCCUUUCAGUACUAAAUCAAAAUCCUCUUUGGAAAAA